GCCUGGCUGGCUCAGUCAGUAGAGCAUGCGACUCUCAAUCUGAGGGUUGUGAGUUCAAGCCCCACAUUAGGUG
rnacentral:tRNA from 1 species